GUGAAUCUGUAGCGCUCGAGGUCGCGCCUGGAAACGCGUUCGAGCACUGAUACCUCACUCAGCGUGUCCAUCCCUCAGCUGAGAAGCCGGCCCCCCUGGGGGCCCCUCCUUCUGGAGGAGCAGGCACGCCGGCGGCCAACCCAACUCUUGUUUUUACACUGAAACUCUGAGAAUAAAACAUAAAUGAAUCAAAACUUUCAACAACGGAUCUCUUGGUUCUGGCAUCGAUGAAGAACGCAGCGAAAUGCGAUAAGUAAUGUGAAUUGCAGAAUUCAGUGAAUCAUCGAAUCUUUGAACGCACAUUGCGCCCUCUGGUAUUCCGGAGGGCAUGCCUGUUCGAGCGUCAUUUCAACCCUCAAGCCUGGCUUGGUGAUGGGGCACUGCCUGUAAAAGGGCAGGCCCUGAAAUUCAGUGGCGAGCUCGCCAGGACCCCGAGCGCAGUAGUUAAACCCUCGCUCUGGAAGGCCCUGGCGGUGCCCUGCCGUUAAACCCCCAACUUCUGAAAAUUUGACCUCGGAUCAGGUAGGAAUACCCGCUGAACUUAAGCAUAUCAAUAAGCGGAGGAA
rnacentral:rRNA from 1 species